CAUCCAGAUUCCUUCACUCUGCUUCUAUCAUCUGUCCAUACUCAUACCUCUGAUGCCCACCUUCAAGACUUCAUUAGAGCUGCACCGUUCCUAUGAACUCCCUUCUCUGCUCUGUUAGACUCUCACCUGUCAGUCUCCGUACAUUCAAAAAAAUGAUUAAAAACUCACUUCUACAGGAAGGCAAAUUAAUUAAAUAGGUUCUCCUAAUUGCCCGAUGUACAGUCAUGGUGUUUUAAAGGCUGUUCCUGAACCCUUGGGCAUCAUAAUCUCUUCCUGAAGUGUCCUGGUUCACUUUUAAAC